rnacentral:lncRNA from 1 species
UUCCAGAUGUUUCCAGAUGCUGAAGAUGUUUUCCGCAGAUGUUGGGACCUGCGAAGGUGACCCCACAUUAAAGGGGGGAAAGAAUCCAUCUGCGGAUGUAGCUCAGUCAUAGAGGACUUGACAAGGAUAUCGGAUAUACAACCCCGUGAAAGGGUCAUUCAACCCCCAAAGGGGUUGUGACCCCCACGUUGAAAACCUCUGCCUACCAGGAAGUUCAUCAGCCAACCCCAUGUGGUGCUAUCCAAAACAUGUCUGGGACCAAGCAUUUCGGACAAGGAAUGCUCUACCUAUGACCUACCCCAGAAGCUUUCCCUUGUCAAAGCAGCCAGCCCUGUGACUGGAGGCAGAAACCAAGGUCAGGGAAAGUUCAAUGAUGGACCUGGAAUUCUAUGUAUCCUUUAUAUGUGGGUCACCUUCCUGAAGGCUUAGAGACAUUACACCUGUGAUCUUCCAAAUCCCUAUAACACCAAACCCGGAGAAGCAGACCCAGAGGGUAUGCUGGUUAGCUUUUACUGUCAACUUGACUCAACCUACAGCCACUUGGGAAGAAAGUGUUAAUGAGGAAUUAUCUAAAUCAGAUUGUGUGUGGGCAUGUCAGCCAGGGAUUAUCAUGCUUGCAGGAAGACCCAGCCUAAACUGGAGUUGUAAGUAGUCUAAGAGAAGAGGAGAAAGCUCACUAGCAAGCCAAGAACCAUGCGUUUAUUUUCUUUCUGCUCUUGACUGUGGGUACAAUGCUUCAAGUUCUUGCCUUGACUUCCCUAAAG